rnacentral:rRNA from 1 species
UGCAAGUCGAACGGAAAGGCCCAAGCUUGCUUGGGUACUCGAGUGGCGAACGGGUGAGUAACACGUGGGUGAUCUGCCCUGCACUUCGGGAUAAGCCUGGGAAACUGGGUCUAAUACCGGAUAGGACGAUGGUUUGGAUGCCAUUGUGGAAAGUUUUUCGGUGUGGGAUGAGCUCGCGGCCUAUCAGCUUGUUGGUGGGGUAAUGGCCUACCAAGGCGUCGACGGGUAGCCGGCCUGAGAGGGUGUACGGCCACAUUGGGACUGAGAUACGGCCCAGACUCCUACGGGAGGCAGCAGUGGGGAAUAUUGCACAAUGGGCGCAAGCCUGAUGCAGCGACGCCGCGUGGGGGAUGACGGCCUUCGGGUUGUAAACUCCUUUCGCUAGGGACGAAGAGCAAGUGACGGUACCUGGAGAAGAAGCACCGGCUAACUACGUGCCAGCAGCCGCGGUAAUACGUAGGGUGCGAGCGUUGUCCGGAAUUACUGGGCGUAAAGAGCUCGUAGGUGGUUUGUCGCGUCGUUUGUGUAAGCCCGCAGCUUAACUGCGGGACUGCAGGCGAUACGGGCAUAACUUGAGUGCUGUAGGGGAGACUGGAAUUCCUGGUGUAGCGGUGGAAUGCGCAGAUAUCAGGAGGAACACCGAUGGCGAAGGCAGGUCUCUGGGCAGUAACUGACGCUGAGGAGCGAAAGCAUGGGUAGCGAACAGGAUUAGAUACCCUGGUAGUCCAUGCCGUAAACGGUGGGCGCUAGGUGUGAGUCCCUUCCACGGGGUUCGUGCCGUAGCUAACGCAUUAAGCGCCCCGCCUGGGGAGUACGGCCGCAAGGCUAAAACUCAAAGGAAUUGACGGGG